AAAGUUACCAAAUGGGCAAGCUGUAAAUAUUUAGUUUCUCUCUCUUCCAAAACGCUCCGGAAAACGCUCUCAAUUUCGAAACAUUGUGAGUGGUAACGCUGCUCAAAAACCCGGUGAAGCUACCAAAUUGUGAAUUUGUGAUUGGUAACUCAAACUUUGCUAAUGUCAGGUCCCGGUCGAGGUGGAGGAAGAAGAGGUGGAAGGGCGCCGAGUCGAGGCCGCUGAGGUGGUCGAGGUUGCCGGGAAAAAGGUUUUUCUCGAUCUUUGAAUGAUUUGACUUUUUUUUGUAUGAAAUAUUGUUUAUGAAAUUAAUCUUUGCUGAAAUUAAAGAAUAUGAUUAUGAUAAUGAUGUUGAAUUUUGUUAGUGGAUUUGUCAGACUUUUCUUUUUAAUCAUAAUCAAUUGUAGAAACCCUGUGAAUUAUAUAUAAGUUCUUAAUUCCAAGCUACCAAUGUUUGUUGCUGGAAUUUAUUGAAGAACUAAAUUUCAAUUUUUGAUUCCGAAUAUAGAUAUUUAUUGAAGAGUAUACUCUGAUAUUUCCUUAAAAAAAACACUAUGAUGUACAAGUAUUACUUAAAUUUCUUUCUGUGCUUGAUGCUGCUGGGUUAUGGUUAGUAUAAAAAGCUUGUGGAGUGGAGGGCCCGGUGUGUGUAGCGACUGGCUUUGUCAAGUUGUGCACUGACUAUGUGUCAUCAACAUUAACUGCCCCUGCUGUUAAGGUUAAUGUUGAUGCCCAUAUUUUGGAGGGGGUGAGUGCUAGUUAUGGUGUGGUUGUUAGAGAUGUUGCUGGUGGUAUUCUUCUUGCUGCUAUCAAGAGCAUUGAUUUGAAGUAGACUCCCAAAAUGGCUGAGUCAGGGCAGUGGCUUAUGGUGUGCAAUUGGCGAGGAGAUUUGGCUAUAGCAACGUGAUACUCGAAAGUGAUGCUUUGAGUGUUGUGAAUGCGAUCAAAGGCAAACACCAAGGUGCUGCUCGUUGGCCUUGGAUACUUCUAACUCUUAAGAGCAAUUUUGUAUGUCUUCUUUUCCCUAAAGUUUAAUAAAUUUGGCGAAAAUUGAUUUAUGCUAAUAAAAUCGUUGCUUGCUUGCUUAAAAAAAAAAUAAAAAAUAAAAAAAAAUCAACUCUUUAUAUGCUGAUAUAAUAAUUAUGUGCAUAUUUUGAUUAAUCUGUUGUAUUUGAAUACUUUGUGUAGGUGGAAGGUGUUCGAUUUUGCUUCACUUAUAGUAACUGAGUGAAUUACCCACUUUCCUCAAUUGCUAGGAACCUUGAAUUAAACAUAAGUCUUUUAUAUAUUGAUCCAAAUAGAAGGAUAUUUUGAUUCAGAUUCUUGGUAUGGAUUAAUUUGAUUGGCUAUGUAGCACAUUGUAUUAGUUGGUAGUUAUAA